UUUGAAAGGUUGUCAAUGCUC
rnacentral:piRNA from 1 species